AUAAGUGUUUGCUGAUGAACAUAAGCAGAGAAACUAGCCUGGUUCAAAUAAACCCCUCAAGCUGAUGAGAAAAGUUUUCUACUAGCAUCUUCUGGAUGGCUGACCUAUUAAAUUACAGCUGCUGAGAAAUGAGCCAUACUGGUAAAUGAUCAGACAAAACCGUGAGAUAAUGUAGUGCCAUUAAUGCGGCAAUGAUUCAGCUAUUCUCAUUUCCCUAAGAGGCUUGGAUCUCUGCUUUGUUUCCAUGCAAUGAGGCAUUUUACAGCUGCAAACAUUAUCAAGAUAAAUACUCUUCACACUUUGAAUCUUCACCUUAAAUAAAUAUGAGGCAUCCAUGAGCUGUGAAACUACGUUUUGUUUUAGUCCUCCAAGAACAAAAGCUUGAAAGCAGAAAGAAGAAGGAAUCCCGGGCAAUUUAGUAAGGCUAUUCUUCCUACUUGUAUCAAAUUACCCCCUUAAGCCCUCCUUUC